rnacentral:lncRNA from 1 species
UUAAGGUAAUUAAUGCAAUCCAUCCAUCUUAUUUGUAUAAAGGAAUGAUUCACAUUACAAUAUAUUAUUUUAAGUUGUCCCCAUCUUCAAAGUUGUGCAUUGCAUUGGAAUAUAAUGAAAAGGGAAACUUUCAGGGGAAGCUAAUUUUCAUUAUCUCAGGGUAUGCAAUAACUUUAGUUAUAAAUAAGGUAUAUUGUCUAGAAAAUAAUGACCAUUAGAUUUCCCCCC